rnacentral:rRNA from 1 species
UGGGGAAUAUUGCACAAUGGGCGCAAGCCUGAUGCAGCCAUGCCGCGUGUGUGAAGAAGGCCUUCGGGUUGUAAAGCACUUUCAGCGGGGAGGAAGGCGAUAAGGUUAAUAACCUUGUCGAUUGACGUUACCCGCAGAAGAAGCACCGGCUAACUCCGUGCCAGCAGCCGCGGUAAUACGGAGGGUGCAAGCGUUAAUCGGAAUUACUGGGCGUAAAGCGCACGCAGGCGGUCUGUCAAGUCGGAUGUGAAAUCCCCGGGCUUAACCUGGUAACUGCAUUCGAAACUGGCAGGCUAGAGUCUUGUAGAGGGAGGUAGAAUUCCAGGUGUAGCGGUGAAAUGCGUAGAGGUCUGGAGGAAUACCGGUGGCGAAGGCGGCCCCCUGGACAAAGACUGACGCUCAGGUGCGAUAGCGUGGGGAGCAAACAGG